UCCCCGUUGGCUCAGACGGUAAAGAAUCUGCCUUCAAUGCAGGAGUCCCAGGUUUGAUCCCUGGGUCGGGAA
rnacentral:tRNA from 1 species